rnacentral:rRNA from 1 species
AUGGAGGCGGUGGAGCCGGCGGUGGUGGUGAGCUGCGUGUGCUGCGGCCUGGAGGAGGAGUGCACCCGCGAGUACAUCGGCGGCGUGAGGGCCUACUUCGGGGGCCGGUGGCUGUGCGGGCUGUGCUCCGAGUCCGUCAAGUACGAGGCCAGCCGCAGCAAGCGCACCGCGGCCAUGGGCGUGGAGGAGGCCGUGCGGGCGCACAUGGCCUUCUGCCGCAUGUUCAGGCGCGGCGGCCACGCGCUCCGUGGCGUCAGCGUCCGGGCACCACCGCGCCUCGGUGCCGUCCGCCUGAGUUGA